AUACGUAGGGUGCGAGCGUUGUCCGGAAUUACUGGGCGUAAAGAGCUCGUAGGUGGUUUGUCGCGUCGUCUGUGAAAUUCCGGGGCUUAACUCCGGGCGUGCAGGCGAUACGGGCAUAACUUGAGUACUGUAGGGGAGACUGGAAUUCCUGGUGUAGCGGUGAAAUGCGCAGAUAUCAGGAGGAACACCGGUGGCGAAGGCGGGUCUCUGGGCAGUAACUGACGCUGAGGAGCGAAAGCAUGGGUAGCGAACAGGAUUAGAUACCCUGGUAGUCCAUGCCGUAAACGGUGGGCGCUAGGUGUAGGGGUCUUCCACGACUUCUGUGCCGUAGCUAACGCAUUAAGCGCCCCGCCUGGGGAGUACGGUCGCAAGGCUAAAACUCAAAUGAAUUGACGGGG
rnacentral:rRNA from 1 species